rnacentral:rRNA from 1 species
UACGGAGGGUGCGAGCGUUUGUCCGGAAUCAUUGGGCGUAAAGGGCGCGUAGGUGGCCCGGUCAGUCAGUGGUGAAAGCGCGGGGCUCAACUCCGCGUCGGCCAUUGAUACUGCUGGGCUGGAGCACUGUAGAGGCAGGCGGAAUUCCGGGUGUAGCGGUGGAAUGCGUAGAGAUCCGGAAGAACACCGGUGGCGAAGGCGGCCUGCUGGGCAGUGGCUGGACACUGAGGCGCGACACGUGGGGAGCAAACAGGG